GUGUCAAAAUUAUUUAGUAAAUGUUUUUGCAACUUCUACACCCACUGCAACUGAACAUCGUGAUGGACCCAGAGGCAAAAAAAAACUAUUUGGACUAAAAUGGCAAAUUUGGACAAAACUCAGGGACUAAAAUGACAAUUUACUCAUUUUAAUAUUAGUAUAGAACUAUGGUGCGGUUUCCAUAAAACGGGUACUGGUAUUAUGGGCCAAGUGAAGCUCCAGGGAUUAACAAAUGGAUCGGUCGUUGACCUUCUGAGCAUUGGACAUAUUGAGUUGGAUUCAAAUGAGAAGCACUAGGGCAGGACACUGGUGGUUCAUCACUUUGGAUCUCAGGGUCAGACUUGGUACAAGACUUCACGGGAAAGGCGAAACGCGUGUCAAUGGUUAAAGCAUCAGACGUUAUUGGUCUGCUAAUAUUGCUCCAACUAACGGUUGCUCAGAUUGUAGUUACAAAGAACCAUGUUUGAACUGUUGAUAGCUUAUUAUGUUAAUUGUACUUACAUAGGUUGUAGCACAACAAAGGACAUGAUAAAUGCUUGCAACCAUACCUGAAUAAAUAAAUCACAAUAUUAC
rnacentral:lncRNA from 1 species